rnacentral:rRNA from 1 species
AGUUUGAUCCUGGCUCAGAGCGAACGCUGGCGGCAGGCUUAACACAUGCAAGUCGAGCGGGCCCUUCGGGGUCAGCGGCAGACGGGUGAGUAACACGUGGGAACGUACCCUUUGGUUCGGAAUAACGCUGGGAAACUAGCGCUAAUACCGGAUACGCCCUUUUGGGGAAAGGCUUGCUGCCGAAGGAUCGGCCCGCGUCUGAUUAGCUAGUUGGUGGGGUAAUGGCCUACCAAGGCGACGAUCAGUAGCUGGUCUGAGAGGAUGAUCAGCCACACUGGGACUGAGACACGGCCCAGACUCCUACGGGAGGCAGCAGUGGGGAAUAUUGGACAAUGGGCGCAAGCCUGAUCCAGCCAUGCCGCGUGAGUGAUGAAGGCCUUAGGGUUGUAAAGCUCUUUUGUCCGGGACGAUAAUGACGGUACCGGAAGAAUAAGCCCCGGCUAACUUCGUGCCAGCAGCCGCGGUAA